rnacentral:rRNA from 1 species
GACGAACGCUGGCGGCGUGCCUAAUACAUGCAAGUUGAGCGCUGAAGGUUGGUACUUGUACCAACUGGAUGAGCAGCGAACGGGUGAGUAACGCGUGGGGAAUCUGCCUUUUAGCGGGGGACAACAUUUGGAAACGAAUGCUAAUACCGCAUAAAAACUUUAAACACAAGUUUUAAGUUUGAAAGAUGCAAUUGCAUCACUCAAAGAUGAUCCCGCGUUGUAUUAGCUAGUUGGUGAGGUAAAGGCUCACCAAGGCGAUGAUACAUAGCCGACCUGAGAGGGUGAUCGGCCACAUUGGGACUGAGACACGGCCCAAACUCCUACGGGAGGCAGCAGUAGGGAAUCUUCGGCAAUGGACGAAAGUCUGACCGAGCAACGCCGCGUGAGUGAAGAAGGUUUUCGGAUCGUAAAACUCGGUUGGUAGAGAAGAACGUUGGUGAGAGUGGAAAGCUCAUCAAGUGACGGUAACUACCCAGAAAGGGACGGCUAACUACGUG